rnacentral:rRNA from 1 species
UACGUAGGGGGCGAGCGUUGUCCGGAAUCAUUGGGCGUAAAGCGCGUGUAGGCGGCCCGGUAAGUCCGCUGUGAAAGUCCAGGGCUCAACCCUGGGAUGCCGGUGGAUACUGUCGGGCUCGAGUCCGGAAGAGGCGAGUGGAAUUCCCGGUGUAGCGGUGAAAUGCGCAGAUAUCGGGAGGAACACCGGUGGCGAAGGCGGUUCUCUGGGCCGAAAUUGACGCUGAGGAGCGAAAGCGUGGGGAGCAAACAGG